UACGUAGGGUGCGAGCGUUGUCCGGAAUUAUUGGGCGUAAAGAGCUUGUAGGCGGUUUGUCGCGUCUGCCGUGAAAAUUCGAGGCUCAACCUCGAACUUGCGGUGGGUACGGGCAGACUAGAGUGUGGUAGGGGGAGACUGGAAUUCCUGGUGUAGCGGUGAAAUGCGCAGAUAUCAGGAGGAACACCGGUGGCGAAGGCGGGUCUCUGGGCCGUAACUGGACGCUGAGGAGCGAAAGCAUGGGGAGCGAACAGG
rnacentral:rRNA from 1 species